GUUGACCACAGAUACCUGAAACCACAGAAAGCAAAACCAUGGAUAAGGGAGGACUACUAUACUGACUUCCAUGGGCCUGUGGUCCCACAUGUUUGGAUUGGGGACCCCUGCCGAGGCACGGAAUACCACGAAGGUACAGAAGUCACAGGAAAAAGCCAUUUCCCCGACUCUCAUUGUGGAUCACGUGCUGUGCUGCUGAGAAUGCUAAAGCCUGUCACACCCGAAAACAGCAUUUUCUACUGGAAUUUGCAACCGGAUGUCCCAUUUGGGUGGCCCCCUUCCUGCUAAGGAAACCCCUUGCUGACUGCUCCAGGCACAUUUCAGAGGAGGGGCAUCUCAGACUGUCAGAGCCAGUCACGGGCCGUUGUGUUCCAGGAGGUCACUGAAAGGACAUCACCACCAACUGACCCGCCGGUUAGAUCUGGGCACCGGGAAGCUCCUCAGGCCCCCACCCUACCUCACUCCUCCAGCUUUGGAAUGUUCCGCUCACCCACCAUUUCUGCAUAAGGAGCUGUUCCAAGGACGCAUCCUUGAGAGAGUAAGGUGUUGCUGAGACCAUCUGGAUGGGAUACGUUACUCAACCCAGUUAAGGCCUCUAUAUAAACUUUGAAGAUUCUGGCGGCGGGUGCGGAGACCCACUCGUCUUGCGGCGGCCAUCCUAGACAAGCCUGCUAGAAACUUCUCCUCCCCAAGUGUGCACCCAGGUUUAGCCAAUGUGUUGUUCCACAUUAGUAGAAGAAAUAAGAACCUCACGAAUGACUCCUCCUCUAGCCAUUCCUAUUCAUUUAAGAGGAGAAUUACAAUGAACAGAAGAAUGCAUGAACUUAGAUUCUCAAGGUCAUCUCAAAUCCUGAAGUCCCUGGUUUCUGUGAUAG